rnacentral:lncRNA from 10 species
GGCGGGCUUGGAAAUGGAGACAAACUCCUCCGAGCCGUUAAGGCUCAGCCGGACAGGGCUUAGGAGUCCCGAGCCCAGUCCUGUUCACCCCCAUUUUAUAGAAAGGGAAACUGAGGCCCAGACAGGGGAAAGUCACUUGCCGAGGUGUUUGCUGCAGACUGCGUUGACCGAACCUGCUUUUUCACAGCAGUCAGACAGCAAGCCCUCCCGUCCCUCCAGGACCCUAGUUCCUGGGGAGGAAGGCGUUCUCAGCGAUAAUGACCAGCAUUAAAGUGCUCCCCGUUACCGGCGUCACUGCCCCAGCCAGUGGAGGCCCCGGAGAGGGACUGAAGAUGUGUCACCUAACUUCUCUGAACCUUCCUCCCUCAAGGAGAACUGAUAAUCCCUAACUCACAGUUCUGUGAGGAUUGAAUGCCUUAAGCAUGCAGGUUAAGUGGCUACUGAAGGCAGUUUUUGUGGACAGAAACUGGUCCCAGCGUCAGAUCUGCGAUGCUGCCCAGGCAUGGUGGUGACCCUCUCUAAACAAGCACACUCAGAAUUUCCCUGGCUCGGCUGGGCGACUCAGAAGAAAACUGGCCAUCAGCUUCUGCCUCAAGCGGUGAAAAGAAAUUGCUGGACAUUGCAGAAAAAUCAGAAAAUGUCAGUAAGUUAAA